rnacentral:misc_RNA from 1 species
GAUCAUUACAGUAUUCUUUUCAAGCUGGAUCGAGUAUGAUUGGUUGUUUUUUGACCUGCGCUGCUGAAAUAUUGCUUGCGCGGUCAGAAAUAGCUGAAAGUCUCUUUCUAUUCCAAAAGCUUGGAAAACCUCCUACACACUUUGUUUUCUUAUUAGAGACAAAUUUGCUUUGGUCAGCUGCCGCGUAAAACCGGUGAUUGGCCAGAGGUUUACAAACAAAACUCUUGUUUUUUUUCAGCAAUGGAAGAAACGUGUUAUUAAAUUUACUUAGUCAUAAUUUAAAACGAAGUGUAACAGCUUCGAAACAAAAAAUUAAAACUUUCAACAACGGAUCUCUUGGUUCUCGCAUCGAUGAAGAACGCAGCGAAAUGCGAUAAGUAAUGUGAAUUGCAGAUUUUCGUGAAUCAUUGAAUUUUUGAACGCACAUUGCGCCCUCUGGUAUUCCGGAGGGCAUGCCUGUUUGAGCGUCAUUUCCUUCUCACAUCCCUUACUUUAUUGUAGGUGGAAGUGGUGUUGAGCUUAUACUCUGAGGAGUUAGCUCGAAAAGGAUUGGCAUGAGUUUUUGUUACGUACUGCUUUUGUUCAUCUUCAAUGUAUUAGGUUUAUUCCAUCGUUGAACGGAACACUUGCUGGUGGUAGCGAAGUUUAGGCUCUGCUU